UUCGGGAAACCGGAGCUAAUACCGGAUAAUAUAUUGAACCGCAUGGUUCAAUAGUGAAAGACGGUUUUGCUGUCACUUAUAGAUGGAUCCGCGCCGCACUAGCUAGUUGGUAAGGUAACGGCUUACCAAGGCAACGAUGCGUAGCCGACCUGAGAGGGUGAUCGGCCACACUGGAACUGAGACACGGUCCAG
rnacentral:rRNA from 1 species